UAGGGAAUCUUCCGCAAUGGACGCAAGUCUGACGGAGCAACGCCGCGUGAGUGAAGAAGGUUUUCGGAUCGUAAAACUCUGUUGUAAGAGAAGAACAAAUUGUAGAGUAACUGCUACAGUCUUGACGGUAUCAUAGGAGGAAGCCCUGGCUAAAUACGUGCCAGCAGCCGCGGUAAUACGUAUGGGGCGAGCGUUGUCCGGAAUUAUUGGGCGUAAAGGGUACGUAGGUGGUUUUUUAAGUCAGGUGUCAAAGCGUGGAGCUUAACUCCAUUAAGCACUUGAAACUGAAAGACUUGAGUGAAGGAGAGGAAAGUGGAAUUCCUAGUGUAGCGGUGAAAUGCGUAGAUAUUAGGAGGAAUACCGGUGGCGAAGGCGACUUUCUGGACUUUUACUGACGCUCAGGUACGAAAGCGUGGGGAGCAAACAGG
rnacentral:rRNA from 1 species